GACAGAGGGUGCAAACGUUGUUCGGAAUUACUGGGCGUAAAGCGCGUGUAGGCAGCUCGGAAAGUCGGGUGUGAAAGCCCUGGGCUUAACCUAGGAAGUGCACUCGAAACUUCCGAGCUUGAGUUCUGGAGAGGAAGGCGGAAUUCUCGGUGUAGAGGUGAAAUUCGUAGAUAUCGAGAGGAACACCGGUGGCGAAGGCGGCCUUCUGGACAGUGACUGACGCUGAGA
rnacentral:rRNA from 1 species